ACGUCAACUUUUCUUCAGCCUCCGGCCUCCUCCAACCUCCUCCCCACCACGCGUUGCUCGCCUCCGCUCCCCCCUCGCCACCGGCAGCCUGCUCCCCUCGGGCGAGCUCCUCCCCCUGCGGGAGAACCCCUCCGCCGCUUGGCCUCACGCAGGCAGGCCGCCGCCGCACCCUCGGGCGGGCUUGCCGACGCCGCGCACGGCCAGGCGAGCCCAACCUCGUGCACGUCGACACGCGGCUCGGGCAGUCCGUCGUCGUCGUCGUCGGGGACGUCCACGGCCAGCUCCCGAGGAGCAGCUCUUCAUCUUCAACGGGGAUUACAUCGACCGCGGCGCAUGGGAGCUCCAGACCCUCCUCCUGCUCCUCGCUUGGAAGUCUUGGCGAGGGGAAGAGCAGAGGUGAGCAGCGCGGAGAGAAGGUUGGAGAAGGCCGAAGGUUGAAGAAGAAACUGACAUGUGGGCUCCACAUGUCGGCGAGUUGAAAGAAGAGAAGCAGCAGGUGUGUUUUGGGCCAUACGAAAAUACACAUGUCUGCGAGUGGGUCCAUGAGCCUCGAAUACGUAUAAAAUGACACGAUUCAAAGAAGUGAAGAAUUAUAAUGGCAAAUUUCAAAAUAGGUGAAUAGUAAUGGCAUAUCUCAGAAGUUGAAAAAUUGUAAUGGCACAUAUAAAAAAAACCUUUUCUUUUGAGGGUUGUAUUCUAAAUAAUUUUGAAAUUUAAAUUUGCAGAGCGUAUGACUUCGCAGCUUUAAAAAAAACAAACAGAGACCAAACUCGAGAUUCAAAAACAUUAGAUUUUUUUCAGCAGAACUAGUAGGGUGCACGUGCGGUAUCGCACGUGUCGGAAGAACAAUAUUGCGAAAAAUAACUACAUUAAAUUUUAGUUGCAAUAAAUAUUUUUGAGAAACUAUAUAUGGUGAAAACAAACAACGAGGUCUCAAUUGUGGUAAAAAUUAGGCAAAAUAUUCGAAACAUGAAAAGUAUAUAAUUAUAAAAAUAGGUAAAUAGUAUGUAUAAGAUAGUGUAUAAUGAAAUGUAUGAGUAUAUAAUUAUAAAAAUAUGUUCGAAAUACGAUAUUGCGACGAACACGGUUGCUUUUUCAAUAAUGCAUUGCGUUCUAUCGCUGCAAACGAACUGAGUAACACUCCAAAUAGCUCUCGCCGAGUAGGAGGCAAAGUUGCCUUCUUCCCUGGGGCUUUGACAGGCGAUCUCUGGCUUGCCGCAUGCUUUUCCACCGCUCGCUGGCCGUGCCUCCCCCAUCCGCACCGCUGCCCGCCUCAUAUAUGCAUCGCAGUAUGCUUCCUGCAUUGUCGAACGUUGUCACUGUCAAUGCAUGAUGUUCAAUUGUCAUCGUCAAUAGUCAUAAACCACCGGCACCAGGCCAUCAUGUGCAACGAUGCAAGUGUAAUCAAUCAUGGUCAUGUGCAUGUUUAUAUGCACACGACCAAACAAGGCCAUCGUCAUUUCUUCUGCAAGUUUGCCAGAUGCAAUGCCUCUGUACAUGCAUACAAGCUCAAUACCCAUUGAUGUCAUGCCCCUAUGCAGUAGACGUGACCUUUUCUUUUAGCAAAACAAUUAUGAUGUUCGAUGUAUUCCAUUAUAUUCAAAUUUUAGAAAUCUUGAGGCGCAAUGUCUCUGUACUUGCGUACAAGCUCA